rnacentral:rRNA from 1 species
GAUGAACGCUAGCUACAGGCUUAACACAUGCAAGUCGCGGGGCAGCAUGGGGGUUGCUUGCAAUCCCCGAUGGCGACCGGCGCACGGGUGAGUAACGCGUAUCCAACCUGCCCUUCACCACGGGAUAACCCGGCGAAAGUCGGACUAAUACCGUAUGUUGUCCAUUGACGGCAUCCGAUUUGGACGAAAGGUUUGGCGGUGAAGGAUGGGGAUGCGUCCGAUUAGCUGGACGGCGGGGUGACGGCCCACCGUGGCGACGAUCGGUAGGGGUUCUGAGAGGAAGGUCCCCCACACUGGAACUGAGACACGGUCCAGACUCCUACGGGAGGCAGCAGUGAGGAAUAUUGAUCAAUGGGCGUAAGCCUGAACCAGCCAAGUAGCGUGCAGGAGGACGGCCCUAUGGGUCGUAAACUGCUUUUAUGCGGGGAUAAAGUGGCCCACGUGUGGGUUUUUGCAGGUACCGCAUGAAUAAGGACCGGCUAAUUCCGUG